CAUCAGCGUAGUUCCUGUUGGUUUAAGUUCAAAAUUUCCCACAGUGGGAUGCUACUGGAAUUUUCACCUGCAAGAUUUCAUUUUUGACAAGCAUCUAAAGUAGAAAAAUAGCUAUAUAUUUAACUGAACAUCGUGAAUUUAUUAUUGAAGAAUACUUUCAAUUCCGCCAUAAUCCAAGAGCUGGGACGACAAGUGACAGAGAGAGCUAUCAAUUGUCCUCAAAGAAAAGAUCGAAAAAACGGAAAACGCUUAUGCUAGGAGCCCACAGAAAUAUCUUCGAGAAGCAGCUCAGCAAGCUAGAAUUUGAAGAGAAAAUGUUGGCGAGAUCGUCAAAACUAAGCUGCAUUACUUGAGUACAGAAUUUGAACGUUUCGAAAUUUUCUUUUUAAACUUUAACACUUCUUUCAUACUUAUCUAGGGAAAAUUUUAUAUAAUUAUUUAAAAAAAAUUUCUACUUUUUAAAAAUAUUAAUUAAGAAGCUUAAGUUUAAAAAUGCUAUUAUCUUAAUAUUCGCUUUUAUUUGUUUACUGAGAGUUUUUUCGUUUUAAUAUAAAGUGUGCACAGUUUUUUUUUUGUUUCUAUAUGUUAUGCUUGAAAUGGAUAUCAUUGCUUAAUUUUUUUAUACCUAUUUUUUGUGAAAUCCUAUUGGCUGAAACCUCUUAUGAAAUUUCCUUCUAGAAAGCGCACUUUAUAGCAUACAGUUGUGCUGAUUUGACUGUUGUUGCUACAUGCCUGAUUUAGCACUUAUUGUUUUAGGUGAAUGACCGAGUUCUGACUUAAUUCUGAUUAAAAAAAAGGGCAACAGCUGCAAUAUGCAUUUGACCAUUUUUUUUAAGGUUAUGAUUUGCUAAUCUGCUUUUUAUUGUUAGUGUGAUAUAUUACUAUGUAACUUAAAUGUAUUGAAACUACGAUAUAUUCUUACAUAUUUCUCAUUAAUAAAUUAUUUGCCACAGAA